ensembl:lncRNA
CCAAAGUGGAUCUGGAGCUUUCCUCUUGCCUUGGCAUCCACGGUGAGCUCUGAGCAUGGGGGAGCCCAAGCCGCUGCCAGUGGGCCAGGCCCGGAGGGAGCUACACUGCUUGGCAAGUGGGUGUGGAACUACUGGAGAAAGAGCAUCUUGCUGUCAAAAGCUGACAGAUGCCGAGACAUUUCUCCUGCCAGCUGGCUAACUCUGCGACUCUGCUCCAACUUGGCUAGUGGAGGAUGGAGGGUUGUCCUGCUGCCUCUUGACCCUGCCAAGAAGGACAGAAGCUGCUGCUGGGAGAGGCAUGAAGAGGAAUGAAGGGCCGGAGAGAUGGCUGAGCCAGCCAAGCGCUUGCCCCACAAGCUUGAUGAGCUGAAUUCAAUCCCCAGACUCACAUAACAGUGGAAAGAGAGAGCCUGGUGGUGGUGGCACACACCUUCACUCCCAGCACUCAGGAGGCAGAGGCAGGAGGAUCUCUGUGAGUUGGAGACCAGCCUGGUCUACAAGAGCUAGUUCCAGGACAACUUCCAAAGCCACAGAGAAACACUGUCUCAAAAAACCCAAAAUAAAUAAAUAAAAUAAAGUCACAGAUUUGUUCAACUAUUACAACUAAUUUCAGAACAUUUCACCUUCCUCAAAAGAAACUUCACACUUGUUAGUGUCACUCCCUAUGUCCCUCCGCCAACCACACCCCCCAGUCUCUGUCAACCACUAAUCUACUGAGUCUUUUUAGAUACUUAGAUUUGCACAUUCUGACAAGUUGCAAUCUUUUACCAAGACUGAACCUUCCCAUUCUACCUAAAUCACCAAAUUCUAGCUCAGCCACUCCCCAGCCUGCAGAAUUGAGCAAACCAAGUCUCUUCAAAACCUGGAGACCCCAGCUUGAAAAUCUGGCUGAGCAAAAUCAUGGACUAACACUCCUUUUGGCUGAUUAAAUCAUAUCAAUAUGUGGUUUUAUGCAGAGGGAUUUUCUCCUUCCAGCUUCUGAAAUUGUCACAUUGUCAAUUGUCCCCUGAAUCUUCUCUGCAAAACGGAGGUCAAGGAAUAACUCGGAGCGUGUGGGCUUCCUAUAAUCUUGGCACAGUACUCCAGAGGCUAAGGUAGGAGUUAGAGGCCAACCUGGGCUACAGAGCUCCAUGCCACUCUGGCUACAGAGUGAGAGUAAGUAGGAGACUAAGACUGUCUCAGAUGAAACCAAACAACAACAAAAGUCAGAUUUUUAGACUUUUCCACUCAAGGUGGGAAUCCUUUCCAAAAUAAUGAACUUUUGCUUGAUGUUCAAUGGAUCCAUCCAGACCAGGAAGCUCUGGGUUUGUAUGUUAGGACAGGUGUGUGUAUACUGCAAACUUUGUACCGUCAUGGUUCAGAGCUGUUGACACUCUCUUUGUGACUCCCCGUGCCCUGGAAUGUCUGGGCUAGGUCAAAUGGCUUCCACAGCUCAUGGUACAGGUCUCUGAGUCAAUAGCAUAUGACUGUUGGUGGUUUCUGCACCUGAGACCAGGUGUAGCCUAUCACUGAAGUAGAUUUAGGUUCUGGGCUGGGGUUGCUCAGUAGUGCAGUCUUUACCUCAUGGGUUUCCUGAGCACCUCCCAUUUUUCUCAGCCAGACAAGAAGGCAAGUCCCCACUUUCCUCAUUCCUAAACCACAACACACUGUCCUACAAAUCGGGUGCACUGUGAAAAGUCACAAGUAUCUCCUAGGGAUGAGGCUUAAUUUAUGAGGCUCUUUGGAGAAAAAGGCAGAAAGUCAAUGUCUUUCCAAUAUCUAAAAGCAAGUCAAGGACCAGUAGCCAAGUAAAUUAACCAAUCCCAUAGCUGCCAGUCCCCAGGGUCACACCACCCGAUUGACCAAGGACGAGUAUUUUUAGGUGCCAGACAAGGCAGAAAAACUGUCAAUAUCAUCAGAGCCCAAGGCUUGUAUUCAGCCUGCUCUUGAAGCUGGGCCAUCUUGACCUGCUAGGGUCAGACAGACAAAGGAGCUUGCUCUGGUUAGAGAGUUACUUCCCCGGUUCUAUCUCUCCCUAGGGUCAUGGAUUUUGUACCCCAGGAAGACUUACUGUCCACCCCUUCCCCAGUAAAAGCACACUGCUGCUUUCAAAGCAGGGAAGUCCCCUGUGUGAGCUUCCUGGUUUUUCUCUUAUCCCUCAGUGGGGACCUGUGAGUUGUCCUUCUCCUGGCCUUCUCCUCAUCUAAAACAGGCUUAACCCAAGCCUGCUGCAGUUGAGCUUUCUUGACACAGGACAGGUGGAAGCACAGAAAGGUAGCUAUUUUAG